AGUGAACGCUGGCGGUAGGCCUAACACAUGCAAGUCGAACGGCAGCACAGUAAGAGCUUGCUCUUACGGGUGGCGAGUGGCGGACGGGUGAGGAAUACAUCGGAAUCUACUUUUUCGUGGGGGAUAACGUAGGGAAACUUACGCUAAUACCGCAUACGACCUACGGGUGAAAGCAGGGGAUCUUCGGACCUUGCGCGAUUGAAUUAGCCGAUGUCGGAUUAGCUAGUUGGCGGGGUAAAGGCCCACCAAGGCGACGAUCCGUAGCUGGUCUGAGAGGAUGAUCAGCCACAUUGGAACUGAGACACGGUCCAGACUCCUACGGGAGGCAGCAGUGGGGAAUAUUGGACAAUGGGCGCAAGCCUGAUCCAGCCAUACCGCGUGGGUGAAGAAGGCCUUCGGGUUGUAAAGCCCUUUUGUUGGGAAAGAAAAGCAGCAGGUUAAUACCCCGCUGUUCUGACGGUACCCAAUGAAUAAGCACCGGCUAACUUCGUG
rnacentral:rRNA from 1 species